UCAGAAGACAAUGGAGAACGAUGUGAGCGAAGCUAUUCGGUCUGUUGUGGCAACGCUGCCGAAUAUUGAGAAGUUAAAGCCGGAGCAAGAACAAGCUUUGUUGAGUUUUGUUGGUGGCCAUGAUGUGGUGGCGCUUCUCCCCACGGGGUUCGGGAAAAGUUUGAUUUUCCAGCUGGCUCCGUUAGUGGUGAAGGAGUUGGGUAAGGCGAAUGCUGGCGAUGCUAAGCCGAUAGUUAUUGUAGUCUCCCCUCUCGUUGCACUAAUGGAGGACCAAGUGAAGUUGGGAGUUCGUGCUGGGCAGCUCGGCGUGCAUGAUGACCGUGACAUUUUGGAUGGAAGCUUGAGUCUGGUGUUCGGCAGCCCCGAGUCCUGGCUGCUGAACAACAAAUGGCGACGAAUGCUAGCCUCAACCAUAUACCAGGACAACCUCAUUGGUACGUCCACGUUACGUACAAAUGGGGUGAGGCUUCCAAAGGCGAGUCGGCAUUCCGAGAGAGUUUUGCCAAGCUCGGAGAGCUAAGAUCUAUAGCCAAGGAGGGUACACCUGUUUUGGCACUGACUGCCUCCGCUGACAUCAAGUCAAGAAGCAGAGUCAUCAGACUACUCCAUAUGGACAAUGCUGUUCAAAUCAUCGCUAGUCCCAACAAGACAAACAUCCGUCUUGGCUUGUGCAAGGUGCCCACUCAUCACAUGAACUGCCUAGACUGGAUAGUGCAACAUGCCAAAGACGAGGGCUCAGCAAUGCUACCGAUAUUAAUUUACUGCCAAAGCCUUAAAUCAGUGGGGAGAGUUUUCGCAUAUUUAAAGGCGGAACUGCAAGGACAUGCCUGGGUGGGCUGUGAUCCGGACUGUAGAAGUGAGAACCUACUGAUUGGCAUGUUCCACAGCAAAACCCGGUAACCCUUCCUUUUACAGUCCCCUAAUUACUAGGUAUUUACCCGGUACAUACAUGGUAAAUUAUAGUGUAUUACUGGGUAAUUACCACUGGUAAUAAGAAGGUAAAUACAGAGGUAGUUACCCGGUAAGUACAUGGUAAAUCAUAGUGUAUUACUGGGUAAUUACCACUGGUAAUAAGAAGGUAAAUACAGAGGAAUUAUCCGGUAAAUUAUAGUGUAUUACUGUGUAUUUACCACUGGUAAUAAGAAGGUAAAUACAGAGGAAUUACAGCUGAUGUACCAAGUAAAACCUCCACUAUUACCCAUCAACUCAACUAAGUAGCGUGUAGUUGUAACUGUUUUAGGUUCGUAAUAACUCCGACAUUGUGUUCUUCCUAGGAAAUUAGGCAACCAAUUCUUAGAAACACCUAUUAUCCAAGGUUUAUGUUGGUAACAGCCCAAAUUUAAUGAUGUACUAUCUAGAAAUUAGCAUAGUACUUCCCAAUAAAAUACUUUUUCUUAGUUAUUAUUCAUAGCUACACCCAUUUAGAAAGGGUUUAUUCGAUUUACCACUAUGGAAUUACUUACCUGGUAACAACAUCUGCAGGAAUCUGUUUUCCUCUAGUGUCAUGGUACAUCUUCUUAAAUACUGGGUACGAAGCAGUUUGUUUCCAUGGUAUUACCAGGUUCUUACCAUAUCAUUUAUAAUAGAUAUAUUCCAUUAUCCAUGCAGUCAACACAAACAUGUACCAUGUACGUUCUGCGACAUUACCAAGUAAAACACGACAAUUUACCCAGUAAGUAAGCUGAAAUUGUACUGUAAAAGGAAGCCUCGUUUGUUUCCAUGGUAUUACCAGGUUCUUACCAUAAAAUUUAUAAUAGAUACAUUCCAUUGUCCAUGCAGUCAACACAAACUUGUACCAUGUACGUUCUGCGACGUUACCAAGUAAAACACGACAAUUUACCCAGUAA